rnacentral:rRNA from 1 species
GAUGAACGCUGACAGAAUGCUUAACACAUGCAAGUCUUUGGCGAAGCUGUGCUUGCACAGCCUAGCCAAGGCGGACGGGUGAGUAACGCGUAAGGAACUUGCCCUGCAGUCAGGGAUAACAGACGGAAACGACUGAUAAGACCUGGUAAAGUCAGGCGGACUCAUGUCCAGCCUGAUGAAAAGAGAUGCUGCAGGAGAGCCUUGCGUCCUAUUAGCUUGUUGGUGGGGUAACGGCCCACCAAGGCGAUGAUAGGUAGCCGGCCUGAGAGGGUGGACGGCCACAAGGGGACUGAGAUAAGGCCCGUAAUCCUACGGGAGGCAGCAGUGGGGAAUAUUGGACAAUGGGGGCAAACAUGAUGCAGCAAUUCUGUGUGCACGAUGAAGGUUUUCGGAUUGUAAAGUGCUUUCAGCAGGGAAGAAAAAAUGACGGUACCUGCAGAAGAAGCGACGGCUAAAUACGUG